AAUGCAGAGCAUCAAUUGAGUGGUGGUGGGUGAUGGGGCCCGAAGGCAAGACGUGCCUUCUCAUCUGCUAUACAACCAAUGCCUUCCCCCAAGGAAUACAUCCCUCUGUGUUCGACAAUUACAGGGCCCAGAGUCCCGGUUGAUUGGGCGCACCAUGAACCUAAACCUGUGGGACACUGUGGCCAGGAGGACUAUGACCGCCUCCGCACCCUUUCCUACCCUCAGACCAACGUCUUCAUCAUCUGAUUCUCCACUGCCAGUCCACCGUCCUAUGAGAACGUGAGGCACAAAUGGCACCCAGAGGCGUGUCACCACUGCCCUGACAUGUCUAUCUUCCUGGUGGGCACCAAGAAGAACCCUAGAGCCCAGUCUGAUACCCUACCAUGCCUCAAGGAGCAGGGUCAAGCGCCCGUCACUCCACAGCAGGGCCAGGCACUGGCCAAGCAGAUCCAUGCUGGGCACUACCUCCAGUGCUCAGCACUGCAGCAAGACGGCAUCAAGGAGGUGUUUGUAGAAGCUGUCCAGGCAGUGCUCAACCCAACACCG
rnacentral:lncRNA from 1 species